CCGAGUUAUACAACUCCUCAAACCCCUGUGAACAUACCUAAACUUGUUGCCUUCGGCGGGAAUCAGCCGGCCCCUGUAAAAACGGGACGCCCCGCCAGAGGACCCCCUAAACUCUGUUUUCUAUAAUGUACUUUCUGAGUAAAACAAGCAUAAAUAAAUUCA
rnacentral:misc_RNA from 1 species